AACGAACGCUGGCGGCAUGCCUAACACAUGCAAGUCGAACGAGACCUUCGGGACUAGUGGCGCACGGGUGUGUAACGUGUGGGAAUGUGCCCUUCGGCUGGGAAUAAUUGUGAGAAAUUUCAGCUAAUACCUUAUAAUGUCUUCGGACAAAAGAUUUAUCGCAGAGGGAUGAGCACGAGUAGGUUUAGGUAGUGGGGGGGGUAAUGGCCUACCAAGCCGUGGCUCCUUAGCUGGUCUGAGAGGAAGGUCGGCGACACUGAGACUGAGACACGGCCCGGACUCUUGCAGGAUGGGGCAGUGGCUGAUACAGGAAUACGGGCUAAGGGCUGAUGCAGCACGGGUGGGUAAGUCAUGAUGGCCGGAGAGUAGUGAAGCUGGUUUACCCGGGGUGAUAAUGACGGUACCGAAAGAAUAAGCACCGGCUAACUUCGUG
rnacentral:rRNA from 1 species